GUUCCGGAAGCGAGCGGGGAGUACCACUCAACCUGGCGGGUGGCUGCAGGCAGGAGCACCUGGAGCAGCACUUGGUAGCCGCACUUGGUAUCUGUCAAAAGCUGUUGCUCCUUCCUAGAAUGAUUUUUGCUUGGAAGUGAUAAUCUGCGACACAAAAACACCAUCCACUGUUGACUUCCAGAGGACAAUGACAUUCUUACAGA